rnacentral:piRNA from 1 species
UGAAUAGUCAGUCAUUCUCAAUGACUUUCU